GACCGCAUAGCGCAGUGGA
rnacentral:ncRNA from 4 species